rnacentral:rRNA from 1 species
CCCUUAGAUGUCCUGGGCCGCACGCGCGCUACACUGAGUGUCUGAGAUACGAGUCUGCCUGGUCCGGCAAGGUCUAGGUAAUCGCUAAAAGACACAUCAGGCUUGGGAUAGAUUAUUGCAAAUAUUAAUCUUGAACGAGGAAUUCCUAGUAAGCGCAAGUCAACAGCUUACGUUGAUUACGUCCCUGCCCUUUGUACACACCGCCCGUCGCUACUACUGAUUGGAUGUUUAAGCGAGGUUCUCGAACUGCUAGCGACUUAGCUUCGGUGAGGUCGCAGUGUGGGAAGUGAACCUAGCUUUGGUGUCUAGAGGAAGUAAAAGUCGUAACA